AUUAAAGUUGUUGCAGUUAAAAAGCUCGUAGUUGGAUUUCUGGUUUGACAUGCCUGGCCCGCCACGGUUACGUGUGUGAGUGCCGGCGCGUGUCUGCCAUCCUUCUGGAAAACGUGUCUACCCUUCACUGGGCCGGAUACGCGAUCCAGAUCAUUUACUUUGAAAAAAUUAGAGUGUUUAAAGCAGGCUUUUUGCUAUGAAUACAUUAGCAUGGAAUAAUAAUUUAGGACUUUGGCCCUAUUUUGUUGGUUUCUAGGACUGAAGUAAUGAUUGAUAGGGAUAGUUGGGGGUGCUCGAAUUCAGCGGCCAGAGGUGAAAUUCUUGGAUUCGCUGAAGACGAACUCAUGCGAAAGCAUUCACCAAGGAUGUCUUCUUUAAUCAAGAACGAAAGUUGGGGGAUCGAAGACGAUCAGAUACCGUCGUAGUCUCAACCAUAAACUAUGCCGACUAGGGAUCAGCGAACGUUGAAUUUUUGACUUCGUUGGCACCUUAUGAGAAAUCAAAGUCUUUGGGUUCCGGGGGGAGUAUGGUCGCAAGGCUGAAACUUAAAGGAAUUGACGGAAGGGCACCACCAGAAGUGGAGCCUGCGGCUUAAUUUGACCCAACACGGGAAAACUUACCAGGUCCGGACAUAGUGAGGAUUGACAGAUUGAAGAUCUUUCUUGAUUCUAUGGGUGGUGGUGCAUGGCCGUUCUUAGUUGGUGGAGUGAUUUGUCUGGUUAAUUCCGUUAACGUACGAGACCUCGACCUGCUAAAUAGUUUCAUAAAUCCUUCGGGAUUUGCUGUAGACUUCUUAGAGGGACUAUCGGUGUGUAGCCGAUGGAGGUUCGAGGCAAUAACAGGUCUGUGAUGCCCUUAGAUGCCCUGGGCCGCACGCCGCUACACUGAUGCGUUCAUCGAGCUUACAACCUUGCCUGAAAGGUCUGGGUAAUCUUUUGAAAUCGCAUCGUGCUGGGGAUAGAUGAUUGUAAUUAUUCAUCUUCAACGAGGAAUUCCUAGUAAACGCAAGUCAUUAGCUUGCAUUGAUUACGUCCCUGCCCUUUGUACACACCGCCCGUCGCUGCUACCGAUUGAGCGAUUUGAUGAACCUCAGGGACUGCUGCUCUUGGUUGGGUUUCCUUCCUUGGGUUGGCGGGAACUGAUGUGAAUCUACUCGCUUAGAGGAAGCAAAAGUCGUAACAAGGUUUCCGUAGGUGAACCUGCGGAAG
rnacentral:rRNA from 1 species